GUUGGUUUGUUUAUCGUGCGGGUUCAGGUUCUUCAUCGAGAACUUUUACAUCUGUCUUAAAAAUAGAUUCAAGAAGGUGUUGCAGCCAACAAAGAUAAGCUUUAAACAUGACGGUGGUAGUAAAAGUGGAAUAUUGUGGAAUGUGAGGCUACGAGCCUCACUUCAGGGAACUGAAGAAAAUGAUUCUUGCCAAAGUACCUGAAGCUGAUGUGAGUGGUCGAGUAGGUAGACAAGCUUCUUUUGAAGUAAAUAUAAAUGAUGUUAACGUGUUUUCAAAACUAAAAGUUGACUCUUUUCCAAGAUUCAAUGAAGUUGUAAAAGUAGUCCAAGCUGCUAAUAAUGGUGAAGCAAUUUCCCAAGUAACAACUACUGAAAAUCGUUAGGAAUUUUAGAAAUCUUUAGAAGACAUAUUCUGUUACUAAAUACAGUGAAUAAAAAUAUGUAUGAAAUACCUUCUGUAAUGGAUUCCAUGGAAGAAAAUGGAUGAACAUUUUUAUUCUUUCUAAUUGUAACAGAAUAAAGAGUUUCUAUAGCAUU